rnacentral:lncRNA from 1 species
AUGAAAUUAGUAUUAACUAAUAAAUGUUGUAGAAGUAUUGUUAAUUCUUAGUUCAUGUUAACUAAAGCAGUUAACUAACUUUAACUAAUAAAACCUUAUUGUAAAGUGUUACCACUAUUUCUUUAUCUCAGUGAGAGAGAAACUGAAACCUGUGUGAGCUGUUGUGUGACCACUUCCUGGACACGCACGUUUUGCAUGUAGCUACAAUGGCUGAUGUUUUCCAUCAAUAAGAUGCACAAAAAUUAAACAAAACAAAUACAAUAGUUUCAUUCUUGAUGAAUUUUAUUUGUUUAUUGCUGGUUAAUAUAGGAUAUUUAAAAUGUCUUUUGAAAUUAGUGUAUAAUAAGAUGUUGUUCAGACAAAGUUUCUCUCUGAAUGGUUGAUUGAUUGAUGGAUAGAUAUAUUUAUUUAUUUAAUGUAUUCUAAGCAGAUUGUCUCUGUGAAUGUGUUUUUCCUUCAUGUAGAAUUUAUGGUUUCUUGUUUUCCCUUUUGGACCAGACUCAUCAAGCAUCACUGUCAGUUAUCCUCGUUCCUUUGAUGAUACACAAAAAUCUCAGCUGAAAGAGAAACUAGAAAGACGGAAGGAAAAACAUGGAAGAGAUUGGAGCACCAUGAAUCUUCAGUACAGGACUUUAGUAAAUGACAGAAGUAAGUUUGCAGCCAUGGAUAAGCUUCUAUCUGAUGAGCGUUUGGAUCUGGCCGCCUGUUCUACUGAACCAGUGAUCAUUCAGAGGAGCAAAGAGCAGACUAAAAAAUACUAUGGUGAAUGGUGUCAGUGUUUGCUGGUGGAGGAGGGACUUGAGUUACUGUAUGAAUCACUGAAGGAUCCAAACUGCACUGUGAUCCUGUAUGAAUCACUGAAGGAUCCAAACUGCACUGUGAUCAUUAAAGGGUAUGUGUUUUAACUUUUUUUUUUUUAAUUCUAAGGCAUAGACCACAGCCCACUAUUGAGUCCACUAUCUAUUUAUUAGUUGAAAUGUAGAGCUUUUAGAUGAAGGAGGGUCAGAGUUCAGGAUCAGCACUCCGGCGGGUGCAGCAAGACUAUAUUAAUCAGUAUAUUGAUUACUUUCAUGACCAUGCAUCAUAUUUUAAUUAAGAUAAUACCAUAUUAAGUAAAUAGCAUAAUAUAAAGUAAAAGAAGGGUGGCCAGAAGGGUCGUCUGACGCUCUUCAGGACUGCU